GAUGAACGCUAGCGGCAGGCCUAAUACAUGCAAGCCGAACGGCAAGUCUGAUAGCAAUAUUAGACCUAGAGUGGCGUAAGGGUGCGUAACACGUAUGCAAUCUACCCGCAACAGGAGGAUAGCUCGGGGAAACUCGAAUCAACCCUCCAUAAGAUCUUAGACCGGCAUCGGUUAGAGAUUAAAUCUGAGGAGGUUGCGGAUGAGCAUGCGUCUGAUUAGCUAGUUGGCGGGGUAAUGGCCCACCAAGGCGAUGAUCAGUAGGGGAACUGAGAGGUUGAUCCCCCACACUGGCACUGAGAUACGGGCCAGACUCCUACGGGAGCAGCAGUAGGGAAUAUUGGACAAUGGGUGGAAGCCUGAUCCAGCCAUGCCGCGUGCAGGAAGAAGGCCUUCUGGGUUGUAAACUGCUUUUAUCUGGGGAUAAAAGGCCUUGCGAGGCAAACUGAAGGUACCAGAUGAAUAA
rnacentral:rRNA from 1 species